rnacentral:tmRNA from 1 species
GGGGGUGAUCCGGUUUCGACGGGAUAUGCCGAGGUCAGAUCGCGCGUCGUGGAUCCUCGUUGGCCACGUAAAAAACGAGGGAAAAAAGUAAUUGCGAACAACGAUUACGCUCUCGCCGCCUAAAUAACGGCCGCGAAGUCGAAGCGCCGAUGUCUGCUGAGCGCCUAGGCUUAAUUUAGCAGGCCACGCUGCAGGGCUCUCCGCUCGGGUGCUGCAGGGUGCCGAACCGAACGGAUGGAUGAGGAUAAGCCCGCCUGCCGGCGUACUCCAUCCGAGAUCAAGGGCCGGAUACACGCGUAGAAGUUUGCCCGGAGCUGUUUCGGACAGGGGUUCGACUCCCCUCACCUCCAAAA